CCUACGGGUGGCUGCAGUCGAGAAUCUUCGGCAAUGGGGGCAACCCUGACCGAGCGACGCCGCGUGGUGGAUGAAGGCCUUCGGGUUGUAAACACCUGUUGGGGGGGAACAAUUUUGAGUGAACCCCUGAGGAAGCACGGGCUAAGUUCGUGCCAGCAGCCGCGGUAAGACGAACCGUGCGAACGUUACUCGGAAUCACUGGGCUUAAAGAGCACGUAGGCGGCGACCUAAGUCAGAGGUGAAAUCCCAUCGGCUCAACCGUGGAACUGCCUCUG
rnacentral:rRNA from 1 species